UUAUUUAUUAAUAUCACUUAAUUCCUCAAAUAGCACCAAUUAAUUGAUUAAUUUUAUUCUUAUUUUUUUUUUCUACAUUUUAUGUAAUCAUAAACUUACUAUAUUUUAAUUUUAUUAAAAACUUAAAAAUUAAUUUUUUUAAAAAAAAUAACAUAAAAAAUUACAACAAAUUUAUUUAAUAUUUUUGACCCAUCAACAACAAUUUUUAAUUUAGAAAUAAAUUGAAUCAGAACUCUUUUAAUCAUUUUAUUUAUACCAAACUUUUUAUGAAUCUUACCAAAUCGAAUAAACUGAUUAUUAUUUAAAAUAUUUAAUAUACUAAACAAUGAAAUACUAAUACUUUAUAAAAUAAAAAAAACUAAAUCUCCUGCAUUUUUAUUUAUUUCACUUUUUAUAUUUAUUCUACUUAAUAAUUUUUUUAGCUUAUUCCCAUAUAUUUUUUCAUCAUCAAGUCAUAUAGUAUUUUCUGUUACUUUAGCUAUUCCAUUUUGAAUAUUUUUUAUUAUUUUGUCAACUUGUAAAAACACUAAAAAUAUAAUUGCACACUUGAUUCCUUUAAAUACACCAAUUUACCUAGCCCCAUUAAUAACAAUUAUUGAAACAAUAAGAAUUAUUAUUCGACCAAUAUCUCUUUCUAUUCGUUUAACAGCUAAUUUAAUUGCAGGACAUUUAUUAAUAACUCUAUUAAAUUUUAAUUCACUUAUAAUUAUUAUUAUUUUUAUUCAAAUAUUUAUAAUAAUUUUUGAAUUAUGCGUAGCUUUAAUUCAAAGUUAUGUAUUCUCAAUUCUUUCAUCUUUAUACUCUAGUGAAUAAUGAUAAAAAUUAAUCAACCAUAUUUUAUUUUAAGAUUAAGUCCAUGACCUAUCUUAAUAGCAUUUAAUACAUUUAAUUUAAUAAUUUCUAAUAUUAUAAUUAUAAAUUUUAAAAUAAAUAUAAUAUCAUUAUUUAAUCUACUAAUAAUUAUUAGUAUUUCUAUCUUAUGAUGACGAGAUGUAAUUCGAGAAAGAACAUUUCAAGGUAAUCAUAAUUUUUAUAUUAUAAAUUUAAUCAAAUUUAGAAUAAUCUUAUUUAUUAUCUCUGAAAUAUUUUUAUUUAUUUCUUUUUUUUGAAAUUUUCUACACAAUUCUUUAGCACCAUCAAUUGAACUAGGACUAAAUUGACCACCAAAAAAUAUUAUAUUUUUCAAUCCAUUAUUAAUUCCUUUAUUAAAUACAAUUAUUUUAUUAACAUCAAGUUUUACUGUUACUUUAGCUCAUCUUUACUUACUUAAUAAUUCUAAAAAAAAAACUAUCAUUUUUAUAAAUUUAACAAUUAUUUUAAGUAUCUACUUUCUAAUACUUCAAAUAUUAGAAUAUAAACAAGCUACAUUUACAUUCUCAGAUUCAAUUUUUGGUUCUUCUUUUUAUAUAGCAACAGGAUUUCAUGGUUUACAUGUAAUUAUCGGAACAAUUUUUUUAAUUAUCAAUCUUAUACGAAUAAUUAAACUUCACUUUUCUCAUAUUCAUCAUAUCAGAUUUGAAUUAGGAGCUUGAUAUUGACAUUUUAUUGAUAUCAUUUGACUAUUUCUUUAUAUAACUUUUUAUUGAUGAAAUAAUUAAUUUUAUUAAUAUAAAUUAGUAUAUUUGAUUUCCAAUCAAAAAGUUUAAAAUUUAAAUAAAAUAAUUAUAUUAAAUUUAAUUUCAAUAAUUGUAAUAUUUAUUAUUUUAAUAAUUCUUUUUAUACUAAUAAUUAUAAUUAAUAUAAAAAUAAAAUUUAAUUAUAAUAAGUCAGCACCCUUUGAAUGUGGUUUUGACCCAUUUAAUAAAUCACGAAUCCCAUUUUCAUUAAAUUUUUAUUUAAUUGCAAUUAUUUUUUUAAUUUUUGAUAUCGAAAUUUCAAUUAUUAUACCAAUAAUUUUAAACUUUAAGAUUUCAAACAUAAUUUACUUUAAUUUAAUGUUUAUUAUUUUUUUUAUAUUUAUAAUUAUUACUAUUUUUUAUGAAUGAAAAUUUGGAUCAUUAAAUUGAAAAAUUUAAA